rnacentral:rRNA from 1 species
AUUGAACGCUGGCGGCAGGCCUAACACAUGCAAGUCGAGCGGAUGAGAGGAGCUCGCUUCUCGAUUCAGCGGCGGACGGGUGAGUAAUGCCUAGGAAUCUGCCUGGUAGUGGGGGACAACGUUUCGAAAGGAACGCUAAUACCGCAUACGUCCUACGGGAGAAAGCAGGGGACCUUCGGGCCUUGCGCUAUCAGAUGAGCCUAGGUCGGAUUAGCUAGUUGGUGAGGUAAUGGCUCACCAAGGCGACGAUCCGUAACUGGUCUGAGAGGAUGAUCAGUCACACUGGAACUGAGACACGGUCCAGACUCCUACGGGAGGCAGCAGUGGGGAAUAUUGGACAAUGGGCGAAAGCCUGAUCCAGCCACGCCGCGUGUGUGAAGAAGGUCUUCGGAUUGUAAAGCACUUUAAGUUGGGAGGAAGGGUUGUAGAUUAAUACUCUGCAAUUUUGACGUUACCGACAGAAUAAGCACCGGCUAACUCUGUGCCAGCAGCCGCAGUAACAC